rnacentral:rRNA from 1 species
CCUACGGGUGGCAGCAGUAGGGAAUAUUGCUCAAUGGGGGAAACCCUGAAGCAGCAACUCCGCGUGGAGGAUGAAGGUUUUCGGCUUGUAAACUCUUUUUGUUAGAGAAGCUAAUUCCGGUAUGUAACGAAUACGCACCGGCUAACUCCGUGCCAGCUGCGGCGGUAAUAUGGAGGGUGCAUGCGUUACCCGGAAUCACUGGGCGUAAAGGGCGUGUAGACGGGUUAGCAAGUCAGUUGUAAAAUCCUAUGGCUAAACCAUAGAACUGUAUUUGAAACUGUUAUCCUGGAGUAUGGGAGGGGUAGGGGGAAUUCUUGGUGUAGGGGUAAAAGCUGUGGAGAUCAAGAGAAAUACUCAUGGCGAAGGCGACCUGCUAGAACGUAACUGACGC